rnacentral:sRNA from 1 species
AUCAACUUUCGAUGGUAGGAUAGAGGCCUACCAUGGUGGUAACGGGUAACGGGGUGUUAGGGCACGACACCGGAGAGGGAGCCUGAGAAACAGCUACCACAUCCAAGGAUGGCAGCAGGCGCGCAAAUUACCCAAUCCCGACACGGGGAGGUAGUGACAAUAAAUAACAAUACGGGGUUCUUUAGGAUUUCGUAAUUGGAAUGAGUACAAUUUAAAUCUCUUAACGAGGAACAAUUGGAGGGCAAGUCUGGUGCCAGCAGCCGCGGUAAUUCCAGCUCCAAUAGCGUAUAUUAAAGUUGUUGCAGUUAAAAAGCUCGUAGUUGAAUUUCGGGGUUAGUAAGUUGGUCGUGCCUUUGGUAUGUACURACUUUACUGAUUCCUCCUUCUUGUAGAACCUUAAUGCCAUUAAUUUGGUGUUGUGGGGAAACAGGACUGUUACUUUGAAAAAAUUAGAGUGUUUAAAGCAAGCUAACRCUUGAAUACAUUAGCAUGGAAUAAUGAAAUAGGACGAUUGAUCCUAUUUUGUUGGUUUCUAGGAUUGACGUAAUGAUUAAUAGGGAUAGUUGGGGGCAUUAGUAUUCAAUUGUCAGAGGUGAAAUUCUUGGAUUUAUUGAAGACUAACUACYGCGAAAGCAUUUGCCAAGGAUGUUUUCRUUAAUCAAGAACGAAAGUUAGGGGAUCGAAGACRAUCAGAUACCGUCGUAGUCUUAACCAUAAACUAUGCCGACUAGGGAU